GACGAACGCUGGCGGCGUGCUUAACACAUGCAAGUCGAGCGGUAAGGCCCUUUCGGGGGUACACGAGCGGCGAACGGGUGAGUAACACGUGGGUGACCUGCCCUUAGCUCUGGGAUAAGCCUGGGAAAUUGGGUCUAAUACCGGAUAUGACUCCAUGACGCAUGUUGUGGGGUGGAAAGCCUUGUGCGGCUAGGGAUGGGCCCGCGGCCUAUCAGCUUGUUGGUGGGGUGAUGGCCACCAAGGCGACGAUGGGUAGCCGGCCUGAGAGGGCGACCGGCCACACUGGGACUGAGACACGGCCCAGACUCCUACGGGAGGCAGCAGUGGGGAAUCUUGCGCAAUGGGCGAAAGCCUGACGCAGCGACGCCGCGUGA
rnacentral:rRNA from 1 species